UUUGUGCAUAUUUAGUCUGUAGUAGUCUACAGUAUUAUGUGUUUAUUUCUGAGCCAACUCCACCAACCUCGAUGACCCAAUGGGUCUGGGCGCAUUCAACAUCAAGGAGGAGGAGAGGAAUAGGCCAGGUGAAGACCAAGACCAGAGAGGAGGCAGUUAUUGCAAGAGCCAGAGGCUGCUGUGCUGCAAGAGUGGCCCUCUUAUAAGCAACAUGUGCUAGUUGGAGCAUUCAAGAGGUUUGACCAGCUGACGGCAAUGACAAAGCUGGCCUCGCAGUUUGAUGAGUGGGGGCAGUCUACCCUUGCCUUAACCAGCUGGCAUGCAAACGCACCGACUAUACCAGUGUCUUCUGUUAAUUGUUAAAACAGACUUGAGGAAUAGACUGCAGGGAGAGCAUCUCACCGCCUGCAUGCGGCUCUCCAUCAACCCCCC